AGCUAUCUAUGAGGAAUACAAAGAUGGUCCAUUUACGUUCAAGCAUUGUUGGAAAAUUCUACGUGAUGAACCAAAGUGGCAAGUGCAACUAGAGGAAGGGGCGCAGUCAAAUAAAAGGAAUUUGGAUAUUGAGGGGAGUGUAGGAGAGCUCACUCCCUCUUUGGCACAAUCUGAAGAUCGUCCAAUAGGCAACAAAAAGGCAAAGAAAGAGGCCAAGAAGUGCCUUUCUCAGAUGGAUGAUGUGCUACAGCAGCUUACAAAACUUCAGGGCACAAAUGAAAGUCGAGAAAAGAUGUUGGAAACCCAGAAACACGUUUCAAGCGAGAAGCUUGAAUCAGCUAGACUUAACCACCUUGCAGCUAAAGAAAAUGCUAAGUCAGCUAUGCUGGAGACGUACAGAGCACUCAGUAUGAAAGAUACAAGUGCAAUGGCUGAUGAUGUCAGAGUUGAGCACUUGGCAUUUAUGAGAUGUGUGAGGGAGAGUAUAUUUGGCAAAACUGAAUUAGAUGCAAAUGGCAGCUCUUAAAAAGAAUCGGGUUCCUGAUGGGGGUUCUUCCUGAAGACCUGAAUAUCAUCAACGACUGCUGGUCAUCAAGAGAUAUGGCUAAAUAAAUUGAUAAACGAUGGAUGCUAGAUUUAUUACCAAGUCAUUAGUGUAAUAGCUGCUCAUGGUAGUAGCCUUCUUUUGUUGAUCAAGUUUCAGUUGCACUGCAGACCAUGUUUUAUACAUUAAGCUUUUUAGUUUGUGUGGGUCGUCCUUGGUCUAUCUGAUGAUAUGAACUUGGUUGUAAGAGCCAUUAUAUUUUACCAAGGAACAAUAUCGUUGCUUAUUGUUUCAGUCGACAACCUGUUUCAUUUA